UACGGGGGGGGCAAGCGUUGUUCGGAAUUACUGGGCGUAAAGGGCGCGUAGGCGGCCUACUAAGUCGGACGUGAAAUCCCUCGGCUCAACCGAGGAACUGCGUCCGAUACUGGCAGGCUGGAAUCCGGGAGAGGGAUGUGGAAUUCCAGGUGUAGCGGUGAAAUGCGUAGAUAUCUGGAGGAACACCGGUGGCGAAGGCGGCAUCCGGGACCGGUAUUGACGCUGAGGCGCGAAAGCUAGGGGAGCAAACGGG
rnacentral:rRNA from 1 species